rnacentral:rRNA from 1 species
UACGUGAUCCCCAAGCGUUAUCCGGAUUUAUUGGGCGUAAAGCGUUUGUAGGCGUUCCGCCAAGUUCUCUGUAAAAUAUCCUCGGCUCAACCUUGGAAAUGCAGGGAAAACUGACGGAAUAGAGGACGUUAGGGGCUGAUGGAACGGUCGGUGUAGGGGUGAAAUCCGUUGAUAUCGACCGGAACACCGAAAGCGAAGGCAUUCAGCUGGGGCGAUCCUGACGCUGAGAAACGAAAGCGUGGGGA